rnacentral:rRNA from 1 species
CCUACGGGAGGCAGCAGCAAGGAAUUUUGGGCAAUGGGCGAAAGCCUGACCCAGCGACACCGCGUGAGGGAAUAAGGCCUUCGGGUUGUAAACCUCUUUUCCUGGGGAAGAAUCUCGACGGUACCCAGGGAAUAAGCCUCGGCCAACUACGUGCCAGCAGCCGCGGUAAUACGUAGGAGGCGAACGUUAUUCGGAUUUACUGGGCGUAAAGGGCGCGUAGGCGGUCUUUUAAGUCAGAUGUGAAAGCCCUCGGCUUAACCGAGGAAGUGCAUUUGAUACUAAGGGACUUGAGUAUGGGAGAGGGAAGCGGAAUUCCUGGUGUAGCGGUGAAAUGCGUAGAUAUCAGGAGGAACACCGGUGGCGAAGGCGGCUUCCUGGACCAAUACUGACGCUGAGGCGCGAAGGCGUGGGGAGCAAACAGGAUUAGAUACCCUGGUAGUCCACGCAGUAAACGGUGAACACUAGGUGUAGCGGGUAUUGACCCCUGCUGUGCCGAAGCUAACGCAUUAAGUGUUCCGCCUGGGAAGUACGGCCGCAAGGUUAAAACUCAAAGGAAUUGACGG